rnacentral:misc_RNA from 1 species
GUAGGUGAACCUGCGGAAGGAUCAUUACUGCUUGCUUAUGGUCUUGUGGGGGGCAACCCUUGCAGGGUCAGGCAAUGCUACCCUUGUCUAUGUAUACCUGCUGUUAUUUCCCUCGGCGGGGCAACCCGCCCUGGGGACACUAUAAACCCUUGCAAUAUGUAUCAAACCUUCUGAAACAAACCAAAAUAAUUACAACUUUUAACAAUGGAUCUCUUGGUUCUGGCAUCGAUGAAGAACGCAGCAUCUGACU